ACGCUCGACACCUACUGGAGGCAGCAGUCGGGAAUAUUGCGCAAUGGAGGAAACUCUGACGCAGUGACGCCGCGUAUAGGAAGAAGGUUUUCGGAUUGUAAACUAUUGUCGUUAGGGAAGAAAAAGGACAGUACCUAAGGAGGAAGCUCCGGCUAACUACGUGCCAGCAGCCGCGGUAAUCUGAGCGGGCUGGCAAGGC
rnacentral:rRNA from 1 species